UUGCCAAUCAUGCAUAGCAUGACAAUGUUCCUCCCCCGUUGCGGGGACAAGCCCUAUGAGUUCGACCUAGGUCUGGUGAAGAGCCAAAACCUGGGCCUCAGUACCGCAGCUUGGCGCGUCGUCAGCAGCAAGAUGGAAGAAAUAGGAGAUAUGAAAGGUUGGAGACUGUACUUGCACAUAGACGAAGAGUCGUACAAGUACGUCCGAGUAGCGAGCUUCCGCCUGUUUUACAGGUUCAGCACGGUGCAAGGCAGCAGACAAGUCUGCGACUCAACAAAGCAGGAGUAUCGUAAAACAGGCAGCGACUGUAACGGCCCCGGAGGUGGAAAGUAUGCAGGUGGACGAGGUUGCGAAUCAGCCCAGCAAGAGCAGGGCUGGGCAGGCUAAGCCUGCGGCGACCCCCAAAGUUCCUGCUGAUAGUUCCUGCGGCAGGGAGCAGAGCUACCCUCCACCCAGUAAUUCCUCGAGGGACUAGGAGACCCACUGGAUGGCAGCGCGGUUGACGUUGGGGAUGAGGAUCUGCACCUCCUCAAACCACUAUUAUAGUGGCCGUCAACACGGAAGUCGCCCAGGUGAACCUGCAUUACGCGGCGACAGCUUCAGCUGUCAUAACGAGCAGGUUCACAGCGGAUAAAUUGGGCAUCCUGCUGAUCCAAGAGCCUUGGGUCCAUAGAGGAGAGGUUAAAAGCCUCAAGACGGAGUGCAAUAAGGUAAUCUGGGAUCUAUCUAGCGAGAGACCUAGAACUUCCAUAGUGGUCCGGAAUAAUAUUGAAUUCUUCUGCAUUUCAGAGUUCCUGACGCAGGAUCUGGUAGCGGUGUAAGCUAGGGACUUCGAAGGCAAGGACUUCGUCCUGGCUUCAGCCUAUUUUCCAGGGGAGGCAUCCACGGCACCCCCGGAGGUGGUGGAAAGGCUGGUGGAGAACUGCAGAAGAUACAGGCCUCCCCUAAUUAUUGGCUGUGACGCAAGCGCCCACCACUUGGAAUGGGGCAGUCCAAACUGCAACGCAAGAGGUGAGUCUCUUUUAGAGUACAUAUUAGGUAAUAGCUUAGCGAUAGAGAAUGUAAGGUGUGAACCCACAUUCAUAACCAUAAGCAGUAGGGAGGUGUUGCACAUCACCUUGAACGAUGAGCCCGCGAACGAAUUGGUCUCACAAUGGAGAGUCUCAACGGAGCCCUCCUUGUCAGGCCACCGGAUUGGCCUAUCUUCUUGCGCUAACUGCCGGUUCUGCGACAGGGAGCCUGAAACACCGGAACACCUGCUGAUCGACUGCACAGCAGUCUGUAGACGCAGGAUUAAGGCCCUUGGAUCCAUUUCCUGAUAGGGAUCGCAUCGCUUCACUAGCACCCGGAAAAAUAUUGGACUUCAUCAAUGUGCUGGGGCUAAGUGAGUCUUUGUGAU